GAAAGUUAUUCCUCUAUGACAAAGGGCUUAGGACUAGCAGAAAAGUACGACAGAAUUUUUCUGUAGGAGUCUUAUGAUUGACUUUAUUAAUGUCCCCUAAGCAAAGAGUGGAUGAAAAGUGGUUCCUCCAUGUAAAUUAGGGAGAGGAAGUCCUCUUUUCAGAUAAUGAAGCUUGCUAUAACAACACAACAGAUCAAUGACUCUGUGUACAUCCUUC
rnacentral:lncRNA from 1 species